rnacentral:lncRNA from 1 species
UCAUUUAGUUCCUUUGUGGUCCUCUUCUUCACCACAUGCCAAAGCAGUUCUUCACAACCUGUGAGACCAGAGCAUCUUGGGUGUGGAACAAUGGAAGAGCUGGGUGAGUGAGGAGUGUCUUGGAGGAGAAACGGAGAUGAUGAAGACUUGGCCACCAUCUCCAUGUAUGGUGGGGUGUAUUUGCAGUCAGACAGGGAAUAGUGCUGGAAGAUUUUUUUCGCAUCUAUCCUCAAUCCAUACAAGAGUGAGCAUGAGGAACUAUGACUGGGGCAACAGUAAGUUCACUGUUUGCAGUGGCACAAUAUGCAGAGAGUUUGGUGCUUACUACAGUGUGAACUCUGGGACAAGUACUUCUGGACAGAUUUGUGACUGAAAUUGUCAGUUUUUAUUGUGGGCUUUUCCCUUUUGGGGACUGCUGGAGAUCAUAGGGUGACUACACAGCUAGACAACUGCAGAGAUGUGAUUUGUGGAGAAACCAUGUGAAAGGAAGAAAAUGGGGGGAGAUGGUGUUAUGAGGAAGAGAAAUGAGGUAGAAGUACAAGAAAAAAGGAUCUGCAGAGGUUGGAGAAAGGCCAGAGUGGUUUUAUUUGUUCUGUGGCACAGUAUUAAAUCAAGAAGACAUAGUACUGUAACUACAGUGAUUUUGUUGGUAAGCUUUUUAUUCAGAGGAAUCCAGAAGGAGUAGAUUACUGUGGCCUGAAAAUAUAAUACUUCCUCCUUACACUUUGAGGCAAGUAAGUAAAAUGGGCAGUGGAACUAAUUUCAAGCUUUGGAGUAAUGCAAAGUUUUUCAUUCUUGGUACUCAUUCAGUAGACUUUGCCAACC